AACGAACGCUGGCGGCAUGCCCUAACACAUGCAAGUCGAACGAACUCUUCUGAGUUAGUGGCGCACGGGUGCGUAACGCGUGGGAACCUGCCCUUAGGUUCGGAAUAACUCAGAGAAAUUUGAGCUAAUACCGGAUAAUGUCUUCGGACCAAAGAUUUAUCGCCUUUGGAUGGGCCCGCGUAGGAUUAGGUAGUUGGUGGGGUAAAAGCCUACCAAGCCGACGAUCCUUAGCUGGUCUGAGAGGAUGAUCAGCCACACUGGGACUGAGACACGGCCCAGACUCCUACGGGAGGCAGCAGUGGGGAAUAUUGGACAAUGGGCGAAAGCCUGAUCCAGCAAUGCCGCGUGAGUGAUGAAGGCCUUAGGGUUGUAAAGCUCUUUUACCAGGGAUGAUAAUGACAGUACCUGGAGAAUAAGCUCCGGCUAACUCCGUG
rnacentral:rRNA from 1 species